rnacentral:rRNA from 1 species
AUACGGAGGGGGCUAGCGUUGUUCGGAAUUACUGGGCGUAAAGCGUACGCAGGCGGAUAUUUAAGUUAGGUGUGAAAUCCCAGGGCUCAACCCUGGAACUGCACUUAAAACUGGGUAUCUAGAGUUAUGGAGAGGUAAGUGGAAUUCCUAGUGUAGAGGUGAAAUUCGUAGAUAUUCGGAGGAACACCAGAGGCGAAGGCGGCUUACUGGACAUAUACUGACGCUGAGGUACGAAAGUGUGGGGAGCAAACGGGAUUAGAAACCCUAGUAGUCC